rnacentral:rRNA from 1 species
GACAGAGGGUGCAACCGUUGUUCGGAAUUACUGGGCGUAAAGCGCGUGCAGGCGGUCGGGCAAGUCGGAUGUGAAAGCCCAGGGCUCAACCCUGGAAGUGCACUCGAUACUGCUCGGCUAGAGUCCCGGAGAGGAUGGUGGAACUCUCGGUGUAGAGGUGAAAUUCGUAGAUAUCGAGAAGAACACCGGUGGCGAAGGCGGCCAUCUGGACGGUGACUGACGCUGAGACGCGAAAGCGUGGGGAGCAAACAGG